rnacentral:rRNA from 1 species
GACGAACGCUGGCGGCGUGCCUAAUACAUGCAAGUCGAACGAACCGCGACUAGGUGCUUGCACUUGGUCAAGGUGAGUGGCGAACGGGUGAGUAACACGUGGGUAACCUACCUCAUAGUGGGGGAUAACAGUCGGAAACGACUGCUAAUACCGCAUAGGACAUAGGAUCACAUGAUUCUGUGAGGAAAGGUGGCGCAAGCUAUCGCUAAGAGAUGGACCCGCGGUGCAUUAGCUAGUUGGUAGGGUAAAGGCCUACCAAGGCGAUGAUGCAUAGCCGACCGGAGAGGGUGAUCGCCCCCAUUGGGCAGAGAACACGGCCCAACCCCCGACGGGGGGCAGCAGUAGGGAAUCUGCCGCAAUGGACGAAAGUCUGAGGGAGAAACGCCGGGUGAGUAAAGAAGGUCUUGGGAUCGAAAAGCUUUGUUUUUAGAAAAAAAAGGCGCAAAGGGUAACUGUUAUGCGGGUGACGGUAUUAAACCAAAAAGCCACGGCUAACUACGU